rnacentral:rRNA from 1 species
AUUGAACGCUGGCGGCAUGCCUUACACAUGCAAGUCGAACGGCAGCACGGGGCAACCUGGUGGCGAGUGGCGAACGGGUGAGUAAUGCAUCGGAACGUGCCAUUGAGUGGGGGGAUAACGUAGCGAAAGUUGCGCUAAUACCGCAUAUUCUGUGAGCAGGAAAGCAGGGGGACCGCAAGGCCUUGCGCUCUUUGAGCGGCCGAUGUCAGAUUAGCUAGUUGGUGAGGUAACGGCUUACCAAGGCGACGAUCUGUAGCGAGUCUGAGAGGAUGAUCCGCCACACUGGAACUGAGACACGGUCCAGACUCCUACGGGAGGCAGCAGUGGGGAAUUUUGGACAAUGGGCGCAAGCCUGAUCCAGCCAUGCCGCGUGCAGGAAGACUGCCCUAUGGGUUGUAAACUGCUUUUGUACGGGAAGAAAUGUUGCUACGUGUAGCAAUUUGACGGUACCGUAAGAAUAAGGAUCGGCUAACUUCGUGCCAGCA